rnacentral:lncRNA from 1 species
CUCAAAACAAAAGCAUUUACAAUAUACCAAAUACCAAAAUCUAGAUACAAAAGCUAGUUUUAAGAGGUGAAGAUACAAUUAAACAAUUUCAAAUAUUUACAAUAUCUCUAUAUCCAAUUUCUUGUUUGGAUUCAUAUCACCGUAGCAAGCAACUUCUUCAUUCUAUGGCACUUCCACCAUAUCUGGCACUUCCACACCAUCUCUAUAGGAACCUAGCAUCCACUCAUUUCUUUCAUUUGCAUAUUGGAUUCCCAAAGUGAUAUUUUGUGCUUCAAAGGAAAGCAUUAUCCCACACGUGAGACAGAGAGAGUUCCUGCAGUACAAAUAAGCAGUUGAGUACUAAACCUAGGAAUACUCAGAAGGUCGAAAACAGAAUUAUAAAUAGAAGUGUAAAAGAAGCAGCCUCAUAAUAAACCAAGAAAACUGUAAUAAGCACAAUACUCAGAAGGUCGAAAACAGAAUUAUAAAUAGAAGUGUAAAAGAAGCAGCCUCAUAAUAAACCAAGAAAACUGUAAUAAGCACAAGGAGCAGGAGCUGCAUCCUUUCAACAGCCCACUUUGCAGCAAUUGUAAGACAAAGUGAGCAGAAUCCCACUUUGCAGCAAUUGUAAGACAAAGUGAGCAGAAUCCUUUGCCUCACGAAGUUCAUAUAUGUUAUGCACUUCUACAAACAACAUUGGGACCUACAUACAGAACCAACCACAUAGAUAAGCUUAUGUUCAAUUAAAUAUUUAAAUACAAGAACUCAUAAAUUAUACAGUAUAAGAUGUAUUCCUACAAAAACGGCCAAAAAUAUAUUCUUAUCCCUCCCAUCUAUCUGGUUUUGCAAUAUCUGCUAAAAUCAAAAUAAAAGAAAACUAGUGUACUAGACUUAUUCAAAUUGGAUUUUAACUACAUGAAGCUAUAUUAGAUUUCGAAAUAUACCUUCCAUCUAUAUUCUAUCAGAUAUCAAUAUAUACUACAGGCAGACCUGAUUGGACUUAGUACUGAAUUCGUGCAUUCUGGAAGAGCAAACAUGCAGUUUUUCAUGUACUUGCAGGAAGACCUAAGAUUUUUGCUUGGUGUUAAAUGAUCAUCAAAUCAGAAUUACUUGACUGAUAGAGAAAAAAUAUCAAGUGAAGAAUUCAUAUAUUUAUAAAAAUAUAAAAUAGCAGAGCAGAUAGUAAGGGUUGAGGGGUUAUACGAAAUCAUAGAAGAGGGCCUGUUUAUGUAACUUCUGAUGAUCUGAUCUCUUGUUGAAGACCAGUGGUUAAUGUUGGUACUCGAGUUAACGAAAACUGAGAUUUUUUUCCAGAAUCUGCAUUCUUAUCUCCUCCAUCUAUUUCAUAUACUAAAGAACUGACAUUAGCGGUCAAAACACAAUCCAUGGACUAUGCAACAACUGACUAUCACAAAGAUAUCAUUAGAGAAAGAUGUUUUGCCUACUUUUUGACUACAACAUACAUAUGUUUUGUACCGUUCCCAUCUAUUUCCUGUAUGGUGCAUCUCUACAGGAGUAGUGUUCUGUACGGAUCUUGUGAUGCAUGAGGCUUCUGCUGAUUGAGUUCAUUUUCAAACAAACACUCUUCAAACCAAGUACUGCUGAGAACAAUUACUACCAUACCAGCUGCUUCCUCCCUGUCCAUUACAACCACACCCAUUACCACAUCUAUUAGUCUAAUCCAAUCCAUAAUUACCAGCUGUCUCCUCUUACUUUCAUUAAU